AGGACUUGGAUGCGGUGAAGUAGGAGGAGGACACAGACACGGAGCAUGGAAAAGCGGAUGCACCAGUGGAGACAGGUCAAACGUUUACUCUGCUUGAUUUUGUCCUUGGUGGCAUUAAAUAUUCACUGAGCACCUACUGUGUGCCCGGGGUACACAGUAAGAGAAGACAUGCCCUGGUUCUCUGAACGCUUGCAGGCUCACAGUCUGUAUUGGCCAGAAGCUCAUGAAAACAAGUCCAGACGCUGGGACUCAAAUGCAACAUGGGGACCCGUGGGGGGUGGAGUUGUCCGGGGUUUGGCAAGGAGAUGGGACUGUGAGAGGCAGAGAGAGUCUAGAUCAGUGCAGAAGAAUGAGGAGGGCAUUCUUGGGAGGGGAGUAAUGUGGUCAAAACAUGAGGUCCAUUGAGGAACACACUGAGGAAGAGUCUGCACAAAUCAGAUGCCUGAGGCUUGUGACAUCAUGUGCUACCCAAGAGACUGAGUUUAAACUCCUUGUGGCUGAAAACAGGACUACUAACUGUCCAGCUACCUCCUAAGGGUGAAGCUCAGAUAAGGCAGCAGGUAUGAGUAGCCCUGGAAUUCACAGCUCCAAAGCACAAUGCUGUGCUCAGUUGAAAAUGACUUCUGUUCAAAGUGUUGGCUUUGUCAUUGUGUGAUCUUGGGGAGGUCCCCGCCCCUCUCUGAGACUGUUCACUCAUCAGCAAACCGAUAAUGGUAAUUCCUUCCUCAUACUAUUGCGUUAGGGAUCACAGGAGAAAAUGUAAAUAAAAGUAGCAGGAUGAUCCACAAAGAGCUCUACAGAUGCUGAUUAUUACUGCUACUUUAAACAGUGGGCUCGGUGAAGGCAGGCAUCCGAUCUCUUCUCUGUUCCUCCAGCGCCUUCUACAGAGCAGGUGCGCAUACCAUUGUGGACAACUUCUUGUAUUUGAUUGAAUUGUAUAAUCUCCAGGAGCAGAAAACUAACACUUCCGGGCGUAGGGGGAGGUUGUGAUGCGUGGCAGAUCCGUCCGCCUCCAUCUCCGCUAACCCCUCCCCUCCUCAGUUUCAGUAGUUCGCAGUCUGCCGAAACCGGUUCUGCUCCUGUGCUCAUGAGGAGGACUCCUUUCAGAAGACUCGCGGGGCCACCUUCAGGUGGUUGUACCUCAAGUCCCUGAAGCAGCUCCAGAGUGUGGUGGGAGGGACCCAGGUCAGGAUUAGUUCACCACCGAGGACGCACCUGUGUUCCCCCAGAGCAGCGCUAAGCCCGAGGGUCGUACGGGCACACCUGGGGCAGGGCUCGUCCUGUCUCUAGAACGCAGCUUUUAUAACCCGGGCUUCGGUACAGAGCUCAGAGCUCGCGGCGACGUGGAAAGAGCGGGCUCCCAGAGAAAUGCCAGCCCGGCUGCACGCCAGUUGUCUCAGUCACUUCCGAUCCUGACCCUCAGUUUCCUCCUCUGUAAAACUGGCUACGAGCCCCCCUGGGCCACCUUCUCGCUGCGGGAACGAGACUGAAACGGGUGCUGCGCCCCUCGGUGCAGGGGUCUGCAAGACGCAGGGGGUUCAGGCUGAGUCCCGACGGGCGGCUGCCACGCCCCUCUCGGCCCGCCGCUCGGCCCUCCCAGCCCGCCGGCCGACUCCGCGCACCUCCAGGGGGCGAGCCUGGCGGUCGUUUCGGCCCGCGCGGCGCCUCGGCCAUCUAGCGUGUGACUUCGCCAGCGGCCCGGGGCCAACCGGGCACGCAGAGCCCGGGUCGCCGCCCAUCCCCCGCCCUAGCUGGCAGGUGCCAGGACCCAGCUCGCCCGGCCGCCAGGCGGCCGCGGGCCUGAAGGGGUUAAGGCCGCGGGGCCUGGGCGCCGGCCCCGGGCUUGGCGAGCCGCUGUGCCCGGCGGCCGCAACCGAUCCCGGAGGCGCGGGGCACGGCGGCUGGCGGGCGGGCGUGC
ensembl:lncRNA